UACGUAGGGUGCGAGCGUUGUCCGGAAUUACUGGGCGUAAAGAGCUCGUAGGUGGUUUGUCGCGUUGUUCGUGAAAAUCUCACGGCUUAACUGUGAGCGUGCGGGCGAUACGGGCAGACUUGAGUACUGCAGGGGAGACUGGAAUUCCUGGUGUAGCGGUGAAAUGCGCAGAUAUCAGGAGGAACACCGGUGGCGAAGGCGGGUCUCUGGGCAGUAACUGACGCUGAGGAGCGAAAGCGUGGGUAGCAAACAGG
rnacentral:rRNA from 1 species